CUUCUAUCAAGGCAAACUGCCCGUAAGGACAGGGCGCAAAGCCACGAGGCUUUCAUCGUGUAUCAGUAUGAUUCCCCCUUUUUCAUUAUUCCCCCCUUUUCUAAAGGGGGUGAGGGGUCAGAAAUCGUAGGGAUAGACCUUCAGGUCUGUCCAAUAUGUCAAGCCAGCCGGGCUGCCGAG
rnacentral:ncRNA from 1 species